AGUGAGGAUAGAGGCGCAAAGACCAUGAGUACACAAUAGGAGGAUAAUGAGGUCCAAUGAUGAUUGUGAAAAGGGGAAUUUGCCGAAGCUUCAAUGAAUCUCAUUGGUCUUGAAGCUGGUUCUGCUAUUGAAAAAAUACAGAACUGUCAUAUAGGAAACUAUAUGGAGGGCUAUCUUACGC
rfam:Bacillus sp. OV166 genome assembly, contig: Ga0115450_11